UUGUGGGGUUGGUUUUAGAGUUAUCGUAAGUUAAACCAUUGUCAGAUUCCGAAAAUGUUGGGGAAACGUAGAGAAAAAGAACACCUUUUCAAGUUCUCUGCGCCUCAUUAGGAUGAAGGGCAUCCGAUGGAUGAUGACCAUGGGAGGAAGUGAAAUGCAGCUAUAGGGUAUUAUUGUUAGUUACCUAGGCAGUGGCUUCAAAUUCUGGAAAAGGAACUGUCUGAACUGCAUUCAUAUAUAUUUAUCAGCUGCGGACAUAGUUCGGCAGAGGUUCAGGUGUUGCUCAUGCACUUUGGACGUGGUUUUAUCCAAGGUUGAAUAUGGGUUUGAAAAUC
rnacentral:sRNA from 2 species